rnacentral:rRNA from 1 species
ACCGGCCUACGGGGGCAGCAGUAGGGAAUCUUCCACAAUGGACGAAAGUCUGAUGGAGCAACGCCGCGUGAGUGAAGAAGGGUUUCGGCUCGUAAAACUCUGUUGGUAGUGGAGAAAGAUAGAGGUAGUAACUGGCCUUUAUUUGACGGUAAUUACUUAGAAAGUCACGGCUAACUACGUGCCAGCAGCCGCGGGAAUACGUAGGUGGCAAGCGUUGGCCGGAUUUAUUGGGC